UACGGAGGGGGCGAGCGUUGUUCGGAAUCAUUGGGCGUAAAGGGCGCGUAGGCGGCGUCGUAAGUCAGAUGUGAAAGCCCUUGGCUUAACCAAGGAACUGCAUCUGAAACUGCGGUGCUUGAAUCCGGGAGGGGAGAGUGGAAUUCCCAGUGUAGCGGUGAAAUGCGUAGAUAUUGGGAGGAACACCGGCGGCGAAGGCGGCUCUCUGGACCGGUAUUGACGCUGAGGCGCGAAAGCUAGGGGAGCAAACGGG
rnacentral:rRNA from 1 species